rnacentral:rRNA from 1 species
UACGAAGGGGGCUAGCGUUGUUCGGAAUUACUGGGCGUAAAGCGCGCGCAGGCGGCUCUUCAAGUCAGGGGUGAAAGCCCAGAGCUCAACUCUGGAACUGCCUUUGAGACUGUAGAGCUUGAGUACGGGAGAGGUGAGUGGAAUUCCCAGUGUAGAGGUGAAAUUCGUAGAUAUUGGGAAGAACACCGGUGGCGAAGGCGGCUCACUGGCCCGUUACUGACGCUCAGGCGCGACAGCGUGGGGAUCAAACAGG